UCCCUGGUAGUAUAUCGGUUAGUACACGCGCCUGUCAAUCCACCAAUCGGAGUCGACGGCCUUGACCGGUGACGCGCGAAAGCUGGGUUCGACUCCCAGCCAGGGAG